UACGGAGGGUGCGAGCGUUAAUCGGAAUUAUUGGGCGUAAAGCGCGCGUAGGCGGCUCUUUAAGUCUCACUGUGAAAGCCCGGGGCUCAACCCCGGGAGGCCAGGGGAUACUGGAGGGCUGGAGACAGGGAGAGGCGAGUGGAAUUCCGGGUGUAGCGGUGGAAUGCGUAGAGAUCCGGAAGAACACCAGAGGCGAAGGCGGCUCGCUGGCCCUGAUCUGACGCUGAGGUGCGAAAGCGUGGGGAGCGAACAGG
rnacentral:misc_RNA from 1 species